CCUACGGGCGGCAGCAGUGAGGAAUAUUGGUCAAUGGGCGAGAGCCUGAACCAGCCAAGUCGCGUGAGGGAGUACUGCCCUAUGGGUUGUAAACCUCUUUUGUCGGGGAGCAAAAGCCGGACGUUUCCGGCUGUGAGAGUACCCGAAGAAAAAGCAUCUGCUAACUCCGUGCCAGCAGCCGCGGGAAUAGGGAGGAUGCGAGCGUUUUCCGGAUUUAUUGGGGUUAAAGGGUGCGCAGGCGGAUUGUUAAGUCAGCGGUCAAAUCGUGGGGGGCAACCCCAUCCAGCCGUUGAAACUGGGGAUCUAGAGUGUGCGAGAGGUAUGCGGAAUGCGUGGUGUAGCGGUGAAAUGCAUAGAUAUCACGCAGAACCCCGAUUGCGAAGGCAGCAUACCGGUGCACAACUGACGCUCAGGCACGAAAGCGUGGGUAUCGAACAGGAUUAGAUACCCCAGUAGUC
rnacentral:rRNA from 1 species